UGUGAGGGUGAUACCGGCCUUGGGGU
rnacentral:piRNA from 1 species